rnacentral:rRNA from 1 species
GAUGAACGCUGGCGGCGUGCCUAAUACAUGCAAGUAGAACGCUGAAGGAGGAGCUUUCUCUUCUGGAUGAGUUGCGAACGGGUGAGUAACGCGUAGGUAACCUGCCUGGUAGCGUGGGAUAACUAUUGGAAACGAUAGCUAAUACCGCAUGACAACAGCUAUUGCAUGAUAACUGUUUAAAAGGGGCAACUGCUCCACUACCAGAUGGACCUGCGUUGUAUUAGCUAGUUGGUGAGGUAACGGAUCACCAAGGCGACGAUACAUAGCCGAACUGAGAGGGUGAGUGGCCACACUGGGACGGAGACACGGCCCAGACUCCUACGGGAGGCAGCAGUAGGGAAUCGUCGGCAAUGGGCGGAAGUCUGACCGAGCAACGCCGCGUGAGUGAAGAAGGUUGUCGGAUCGUAAAGCUCUGUUGUAAGAGAAGAACGAGUGUGAGAGUGGAAAGUUCACACUGUGACGGUAUCUUACCAGAAAGGGACGGCUAACUACGUG